ACCUACCUGGGAUGAUUGUGAACAGA
rnacentral:piRNA from 1 species